rnacentral:ncRNA from 2 species
CUAUAUACAGGAAAUGGUGUCUUCCUGCCCCAACCGCUUCUUCUAAAGCUAAUGGCGCCUACAAGUAG